AGAUGACUUUUACAUCAGCUGUCAUUGUGGGACUUGCUACCUUCUUAGCAUUCGUCGAUUUCACGAUUGCAAAACCUGAACCUAAACCGAUGAGUGGAACUGGUUGUUCAUAAUAAUCUCCUCUCUCAAUAUAAGGAUAAAUAUCUCUUGGAUCUACCACAAUGGAAGCUGCACUUGUGUUAUGAUUAAAAUAAAUAAAACUUUAUAAGCCUUAAAA